AAUAAAAUUGAGAAUGGAAAUGGGGAAUGUGUCAAAGAGACAACAACCCGACCAAAUAAAAAACAACAGCAGAAGGUCACCAACAGGUCUUCAAUGUAGCGAGAAAUUCCCGCACCCGGAGGCGUCCUUCAGCUGGCCCCUAAACUAAUAUAUACUAGUUCAGUGAUAAUGAACGCCAUACUAAUUUCCAAAUUGUACACAAGAAACUAAUAUAAAAAUAAUACAAGACUAACAAAGGCCAGAGGCUCCUGACUUGGGACAGGCGCAAAAAUGCGGCG
rnacentral:lncRNA from 1 species